CGCUCAGGGACGAACGCUGGCGGCGUGCCUAAUACAUGCAAGUCGAGCGGAUUUUCUGGAGCUUGCUCCAGAAAGUUAGCGGCGGACGGGUGAGUAACACGUGGGCAAUCUGCCCGUAAGACUGGGAUAACUCCGGGAAACCGGGGCUAAUACCGGAUAACCCUGACUCUCUCCUGAGAGUCAGUUGAAAGAUGGUUUCGGCUAUCACUUACGGAUGAGCCCGCGGCGCAUUAGCUAGUUGGUGAGGUAACGGCUCACCAAGGCGACGAUGCGUAGCCGACCUGAGAGGGUGAUCGGCCACACUGGGACUGAGACACGGCCCACACUCC
rnacentral:rRNA from 1 species